GCAUAUCAAUAAGCGGAGGAAAAGAAACCAACAGGGAUUGCCCUUAGUAACGGCGAAGUGAAGCGGCAACAGCUCAAAUUUGAAAUCUGGCCCUCGGGUCCGAGUUGUAAUUUGUAGAGGAUGCUUUUGGUGAGGUACCUUCCGAGUUCCCUGGAACGGGACGCCAUAGAGGGUGAGAGCCCCGUCUGGUUGGAUACCGAUCCUCUGUAAAGCUCCUUCGACGAGUCGAGUAGUUUGGGAAUGCUGCUCUAAAUGGGAGGUAUAUGUCUUCUAAAGCUAAAUAUUGGCCAGAGACCGAUAGCGCACAAGUAGAGUGAUCGAAAGAUGAAAAGCACUUUGAAAAGAGAGUUAAAAAGUACGUGAAAUUGUUGAAAGGGAAGCGCUUAUGACCAGACUUGGACUUGGUUGAUCAUCCUGGGUUCUCCCUGGUGCACUCUUCCAGUUCAGGCCAGCAUCAGUUCGCUGCGGGGGAUAAAAGUUUUGGGAAUGUGGCUCCCUCGGGAGUGUUAUAGCCCAUUGCAUAAUACCCUGCUCCGGACUGAGGUUCGCGCAUCUGCAAGGAUGCUGGCGUAAUGGUCAUCAGCGACCCGUCUUGAAACACGGACCAAGGAGUCGUCUUCGUAUGCGAGUGUUCGGGUGUUAAACCCCUACGCGUAAUGAAAGUGAACGCAGGUGAGAGCUUCGGCGCAUCAUCGACCGAUCCUGAUGUUCUCGGAUGGAUUUGAGUAAGAGCAUACGGGGCCGGACCCGAAAGAAGGUGAACUAUGCCUGUAUAGGGUGAAGCCAGAGGAAACUCUGGUGGAGGCUCGCAGCGGUUCUGACGUGCAAAUCGAUCGUCAAAUAUGGGCAUGGGGGGCGAAAGACUAAUCGAACCUUCUAGUAGCUGGUUUCCGC
rnacentral:rRNA from 1 species